rnacentral:rRNA from 1 species
GAGUAACGCGUGAGCAACCUGCCUAUGACAGUGGGAUAGCCUCGGGAAACCGGGAUUAAUACCGCAUGAAAUCGUAGAAACACAUGUUUUAACGGUCAAAGAUUUAUCGGUCAUAGAUGGGCUCGCGUCUGAUUAGCUAGUUGGUGAGAUAACAGCCCACCAAGGCGACGAUCAGUAGCCGGUCUGAGAGGAUGAACGGCCACAUUGGAACUGAGACACGGUCCAA